CUGGGCAACUGGCUAUGGGAGCUGGGCAACCGGCUGUGGGCACCGGGAGCCAGGCAUCCUGCACUGGGAACUGGGCAACUGGCAGUGGGCAUUGGGAGCUGGGAGCCGGGCAAGUGGCAGUGGGAAUUGGGCAACCAGCUGUGGGCACCAGGAGCUGGGAGCUGGGCAACCGGCAGUGGGCACUGGGCAACCGGCUGUGGGCACCGGGAGCCAGGCAUCCUGCACUGGGAACUGGGCAACUGGCAGUGGGCAUUGGGAGCUGGGAGCCGGGCAAGUGGCAGUGGGAAUUGGGCAACCAGCUGUGGGCACCAGGAGCUGGGAGCUGGGCAACCGGCAGUGGGCACUGGGCAACCGGCUGUGGGCACCGGGAGAUGGGAGCUGGGCAACCGGCACUGGGAACUGGGCAGCCAGCACCGGGAGCUGGGCAACUGGCAGUGGGCACUGGGCAACCGGUAUUGCCACUGGGCGCUGGGCAACCGGCUGUGGGCACCGGGAGCCGGGCAUCCUGCACCGGGAACUGGGCAACCGGCAGUGGGCACCGGGAGCUGGGCAACCGGCUGUGGGAGCUGGGCAACCGGCUGUGGGCACCGGGAACCAGGAGCUGGGCAAUCAGCACCGGGAGCUGGGCAACCGGCUGUAGGAACUGGGCAUCCAGCAGUGGGCACUGGGAACCGGGAGCUGGGCAACCGGUUGUGGGAACUGGGCAACUGGCAGUGGGAACUGGGAGCCAGGCAUCCUGCACUGGGAAUUGGGCAUCCGGCUGUGGGCACUGGGAACCAGGAACUGGGCAACCAGCAGUGGGAACCGGGAGCCAGGCAUCCGGCUGUGGGCACCGGGAAGCGGGAGCUGGGCAACCGGCAGUGGGCACUGGGCAACCGGCUGUGGGCACCGGGAGAUGGGAGCUGGGCAACCGGCACUGGGAACUGGGCAGCCAGCACCGGGAGCUGGGCAACUGGCAGUGGGCACUGGGCAACCGGUAUUGCCACUGGGCGCUGGGCAACCGGCUGUGGGCACCGGGAGCCGGGCAUCCUGCACCGGGAACUGGGCAACCGGCAGUGGGCACCGGGAGCUGGGCAACCGGCUGUGGGAGCUGGGCAACCGGCUGUGGGCACCGGGAACCAGGAGCUGGGCAAUCAGCACCGGGAGCUGGGCAACCGGCUGUAGGAACUGGGCAUCCAGCAGUGGGCACUGGGAACCGGGAGCUGGGCAACCGGUUGUGGGAACUGGGCAACUGGCAGUGGGAACUGGGAGCCAGGCAUCCUGCACUGGGAAUUGGGCAUCCGGCUGUGGGCACUGGGAACCAGGAACUGGGCAACCAGCAGUGGGAACCGGGAGCCAGGCAUCCGGCUGUGGGCACCGGGAAGCGGGAGCUGGGCAACCAGCUGUGGGCACUGGGCAAGCAGCAGUGGGCACUGGGAACCAGGCAUCCUGCACCAGGAA
rnacentral:lncRNA from 1 species